UAAUGGCCUACCAACCUACGAUCUAUAGCUGGUUUGAGAGGAUGAUCAGCCACACUGGGACUGAGACACGGCCCAGACUCCUACGGGAGGCAGCAGUGAGGAAUCUUGGACAAUGGGGGAAACCCUGAUCCAGCCAUGCCGGCGUGAGCGAUGAAGGCCUUAGGGUUGUAAAGCUCUUUCAGUCGUGAAGAACAAGUGACGAGCGACUG
rnacentral:rRNA from 1 species